CGUCGCGCAGCUCGGCCCCGCGGGGUCGCGGGGGUCGCGGGAGCGGCAUGGCGGCGCCGCGGAGGCGGGUGUUUGUUGAAAAAGUGCUGAAGAGACUUUUUCCUGAAGUUCCUCAUGGGCAAGAGAAGAGGGCGCCAGUGCCUGCAGCCUCGGAGAAACCAGCCGAGAACGUGGCUCAUGAGCAGGUGAAAGGCCAGGGCGUUCCCCCUUUCACAGGUGGCGACACCCAGACCCAGCCUGAAAGACGGCUCUACACCGUGAGUCUGCCUCCAGAGGGGUAUGUUCCCGCUCUGCCAGAGCCACACAGCUGCACAGAUGCCGAGAACUCCGCCAGCAGCGACGGCACGGGAGAUCAGGAUCCUCAUGAUCAACCAAAGAGAAGAAGAAUUAGAAAGCAUAAAUCAAAGAAAAAAUUUAAAAUUCUUAAUAAUGUUCAUGUAGAACAAGCAGAAUUAGAGAAACAAGAGAGUCUUUUACAAGAAAAAUCGCAGCCAUGGCACACAGAUGGCCCCACAAUCAGCAAAAAUAAAAAAAGGAAACUGAAAAAGAAACAGCAAAUUAGGAGGAAGAAAGCAGCUGGCUUACUAACAAAAGCCUCUGGUGUCAACUUCAUGUACCAGCCUGAGGAGAGCAACAGCGAGCAAGAAGACGUGAGAGAAUCCAGUGGGGAGGAAGUGCCAGCCGCCAGUGAGGAAGGCGCUACGGAGGCCAACGAGGAAGAUGUUAGAGACGCCAGUGAGGAAGGUGCUACAGAUGCCAAGGGGGAAGAUGGUAAAGGCACCAAGGAGGAAGGUGUCACAUGUGCUGAGGAGGAAGACGUUAAAAGUACCAAUGAAAAGGCAGAUAGUAUCCUAAACUUUUUGAAAUCAACAGAAGAAAUUUAUUUUUAUGAUGGUUUCUCCAAGGAUUCAGACCCAGCUGUCUUUAUGGAAACCACAGAGGAGCUAUUUAAACAUCUUGAGACUCACAGCCUGUCUCCCUCAGAUGUGUUCAUUCUGGAUCACAUGAAAACGCUGUUACUUUCACAAGAUACUGAAAGACUGAAGAGUGCCCUGGAGCUGUUCCCAGAACAUUGCAUGAUGCCGCCCGAGUGUGAGGGGAUCCUGGGACCAGAAGUGUGAGAACCGAGGCUUCAGACCCUUCUGGUCUAAGAUUACCGGGCUCCUUGCAGAAACGGCUGAUUCCAGACGUGGAGCCAGAAAAGUGCAAGGCGAGUCUGGAGUAUCUUGUUCGGGAAGCAAGUCAAUUCCUGACUCCUCCUUGAGUAGACAUUCAUUCCUUUAAUGCACACGAACUGAGCACCUUCCACUGUUCUGAGCGCUGAGGACACGUAGUGAAGGAAGCAGAGGAGGUCCCAGCCCCGAGAGGUGAGAUUCUGGGUGAACCUGUGGAAGAUGAGGCAUGUUCUGUGGCUGUGUGCAGAUUGUAGCUGAGUGUGGAAGGGGCAGAACGUAAAGGGAUGGUCUAGUGCUUAUGUUGUGUUCUAUUGUAAGUGAUUAUUUACUUAUUUACUACGUAUUUUACCUUUUACAAUGUUACCAUAUCAUUUCACUCUAAGAGCAUUGGAACACAUUUGUUUGUUUACUGUCAUACUUUCUAGUUGAUUAUUGAUGAUGUAGAUGAAUGAUACUGAUUUUUGUAAGCAGAUCUUGGAUCUGGCAACAUUCUCAAUCUCCUAUCAGUUCUAAAAGUGUAUUGAUCCUAUGGAGGGUUCCAUGUAGAUGAGCUUAUUAACUGCAGAUAAUAACAGUUUAUCACUUUCUUUCCAUCUUUAAUCUUAUUAUUUUAUUUUCAUGUCACACUUUUGGCCGGGACAUCGUGUGUUAUAUUGAACAGUAGCAAUGGUACCAGGCAUCCUCGUCUUUUUCCUGAUCUUAGUAUGAAUUAUAUAAAUUUAUCCUUCAAAUAUGAUGUCUGUUAUAGGUUUUGAUAUAUGGCCUUUCUCAGAAUAGCAAAUUUCCUUCUAUUCUUUAUUUUCUGAGACUUUUUCAUAGGUAAAGGUUAAAUGUCAUUAGGGAAUUUUCUGCAUCUAUUUAGAACACAGUUUGAUUAUUCUCCUUUAAUCUGCUGUGUGGUGUGGUAGUUUAAGGAGAAUGGUCACAAAUUGUUUGACAGUCUUCCCUUUGAGAGGCGUGGUCUCUGUCCCCUCCCCUGGAUCUGAGAAGACUGAUUUCCUUGACCAAAAAACGUGGUGGAAGUGAUGUUGGGUGACUUCCGAGACAAGUCAGUGAGUCCACUGAUUUCCUGGGUUCCUCAUCUGGGGGAAAACGGCUGCUGUGUUGGAGGUUUGAGGCCACCACGUUCCAGAGACCAAUGUAGGCCCAUGGGUUGAGCCCCCAGCCAACCAGCAGGGCCACCAGCAACGAGAGUGAACCAUCUUAGGAGCUGGACCUCGUCAGGCCUCCAGAUGGCACCACAUGGGUGACCCAAGCAGAACUGCCCAGUGUUCCCAGAUGUCUGACCCAUGAAGUCCAGAGCCAUGCAGGCCGGUGAGUGUGGGCAGCUAGUUCUGCACUAGUGGUCAUGGAAGGUGCGGCUGAUUCACUGGCAAAUCUUCUCAUGUCCGUGAUCCUUGUGUUCCUGGGGGGGUUCGUUUUCUUGUCCAUCACCUGGGAUGUGGAUAGCUCUGUUUAUUUCUCGGCAUCUUCACAUUUACACUCACACUGAGAUGGCCCACGCUCCCUCUCCGCUUCCUUUCUGCCGGUGCAUCACUCAGAUCUCCUCCACGAGCGCUCGCUGAAGGAGCACAGCUGACCCACAGCCCCGGUGCCGCCCCUUUGGGCCAUGGCUGCUUCACACUUCGGACACGCUGCCGCGGUUCCUCCCAUGAGGAUGGAGCACGUCAGAGGACUCGUCCAGCCCAGGCCUCCUCUAGAGCACCAUGUGCUUGGGUCCCUCGGCCUGUCCACAGCACGUCCUCACCUGCAGUGCGUCCGACGUGCUUCCUGCCAGUCCUCGCCCUCGUCUCACGAGUGUUAGCCCUGUGUGUGUCUGAAGCUCUCUCUGCUCCUUCUCCCCCUUGUUAGGUGAAGUGUGUCCCCCAGAAUUCCAUAUGUUGAGUCCUAAUGCCCAGUGCUCAGAUGGUGACAUCGGAAGAAGGGUCAUUCAGACGUGAUUGCUUAAGAUGAGACAAGGUCAUACUGGAGCAGGGCGGGUCCCUAACCAAAAAUGACUGAUGUUCCUAUAAAAAGGGGACACAGACAUGCACAUGGGGAGACGCUGUGUGAAGAUGAAGGCAGAGUGGGGUGAGGCAUCCACAGCCUAGGAGCACCGAGGAUUGCCAGCAGCCACCAAGCUAGAGGAGACACGGAACAAAUUCCUCCUCACGGCUUCGGAAGGAACCAACCCUGCCGACACCGUGAUCUUGGGCUUCCAGCCGCCAGAACUCUGAGGUGAUACGUUUCUGGGGUUUAAGCCCCAGUCUGUGGUGUCUUGUUACAGCAGCCCUGGCAGAUGAACACACUCUUCAUCUCUCACAGACACUCCCCCCAGUCAGGCCCUCGUGUUUCUGAUCCCUUCUUGCAUCUGCCUCUCUGAGGACCUACACGGAUCCAUUGACCUAAAGCCACUCUAAGAUGUUUUAUUAUAUUAGAGACAGCAGAUAAUCAUGGAUUGCCUGAAGAACGUCCCCACAGAAAAGCUUCAGAGGACAGUAAGUAAAAGUAAAGGUAAUUUCUGGUGACAUCUCAUGAGUCCUGCUCAUCUAGUGUGCUGCUGGGGAACAUUUAGGGGCAGGAAAAUUUUUUUUCUGCUUGAGACCACUAACCUGAAGAAAAACUAUGGAAAAAUAUAAUGCCC